UACGUAGGUGGCAAGCGUUGUCCGGAUUUACUGGGUGUAAAGGGCGUGUAGCCGGGUUACAAGUCAGAUGUGAAAUCCUGCGGCUUAACCGCAGAACUGCAUUUGAAACUGUUGAUCUUGAGUACUGGAGAGGCAGACGGAAUUCCUAGUGUAGCGGUGAAAUGCGUAGAUAUUAGGAGGAACACCAGUGGCGAAGGCGGUCUGCUGGACAGCAACUGACGGUGAGGCGCGAAAGCGUGGGGAGCAAACAGG
rnacentral:rRNA from 1 species